GGAAUGUUCAGCCAGGGAGUGGGAUGGCUGUGCUGCUGGCCUGAGCCUGGGGCUCUGCUUGUUGAGGAGAAGGAGGUCCAGGGCUCACAGGGAGGAGAGACUGGGCUCCUGCUCGUAUGGUGACUGUGGUAUGCUGGAAGCACAGGUCUAGGGCACACAGGAUGUCCCUCAUGUCUGCAAGCAACACCUUUCAUAGUGCUGCAUUUUCUGGCUGCCAGAUGGAGCUUUUCUUUCACACUAAAUUGAUUUCUGUGAAAAGUCUUUGUCACCUGCAAUAUGAUGAUGCUUCUAAGUCUAUGCACCAUCUUAACAGAAGGUCCCCAGGUGGACCUUGAGCCAUCUUUCUGUGACCCCUCUGUGACCUCUCUGUAUUGUUGCCCUUUUUUGAUAUUUCUGAUGAUCUCCUCUGAGACUCCAGCUGCAACAUCACCCUCUCAGAAGCACAGAUUUCAUCCUCUGGAAAUAAAUCCUGGAUAUAUAGUUUUUAAAUUGCUCUCUUUGAAAACUGCCUCUACUCUCUGAUUUAUUUCUGGUGUGUGUGUGUGUGUGUGUGUGUGUGUGUGUGUGUGUGUGUGUAGUUCUCAUCUGCUAAUAUGCCUUUAAGACAUUCUAGAACUAUUUUUGAUUGGAUUCUAGUUAAUAAUAAGAAUAGUAAUAGUAAUAAAACACUGAAGAGAUUACAAAGCACUUUCCUAAUACUAGAAAUGAAGCUUAAGGGGUCUAAACAGCAAAACCAGGCUACUAUAUUAGUAAGGGGUAGUUAGGUUUAAAAUUCCUGUCCAGGAGAGAUUUAUUCAGGUAGCACUCACUUCAAGGUUUUUCUUUCAUCAAUAGCCACAGUUGUCUUAAUAUUUCUCAAGUAAGAAAAACAGAAACCAACCAAGCAACCCAUUGACAAACCAAAACAUUGUGUUAGACAGUUUUUGAUGUUGCACUUUGUGGGAAGUGUGGACUCUAUAAAUUCUUGAUUUGUAUAUUUCUGAGCUUUAAGACUGGAAAUACCAGCUAGUGCUGAGAACAAAUAAUUAAUGAUGACUUCACUUAGAAAUUUUCAACAACUACAUAUGGGAAAACCAAGAGCUCUCUUUUAUUAUUAUGAAUAAUUCUCUUUUCUCAUUCAAAGAAACAUCAAUUCAGUAUAGACAGGCGUACUAAUGAAGAGUAGAGAGUAAUCAAAUACAGAAUGAUGGCAGUUACUUGUCUUAGUCCACCCAAUUGUCUGAUUUCCUACUUACUCCCUGAGAGAAGGUUUUGGAGUGUCCUGGGUGUGUGCAUGUGUGAUAUGUGUGUAUGUAUGCAUGUGCAUAUAUAUACACACACCCUUUUGCAUGUGUGUGUUUAUAUUCAAGUACUUUAGUUGUUAGCAAACGAAGAUAAUAAAAACAGCUAACAUUUA
rnacentral:lncRNA from 10 species